rnacentral:rRNA from 1 species
AGUGAACGCUGGCGGUAGGCCUAACACAUGCAAGUCGAACGGCAGCACAGAGGAGCUUGCUCCUUGGGUGGCGAGUGGCGGACGGGUGAGGAAUACAUCGGAAUCUACCUUUUCGUGGGGGAUAACGUAGGGAAACUUACGCUAAUACCGCAUACGACCUUCGGGUGAAAGCCGGGGACCUUCGGGCCUGGCGCGGAUAGAUGAGCCGAUGUCGGAUUAGCUAGUUGGCGGGGUAAAGGCCCACCAAGGCGACGAUCCGUAGCUGGUCUGAGAGGAUGAUCAGCCACACUGGAACUGAGACACGGUCCAGACUCCUACGGGAGGCAGCAGUGGGGAAGAUUGGACAAUGGGCGCAAGCCUGAUCCAGCCAUACCGCGUGGGUGAAGAAGGCCUUCGGGUUGUAAAGCCCUUUUGUUGGGAAAGAAAUCCUGUCGGUUAAUACCCGGUAGGGAUGACGGUACCCAAAGAAUAAGCACCGGCUAACUUCGUGCCAGCCGCCGCGGUAAGAC